ensembl:lncRNA
GUUAAUCUCUUGUUUUCACCAGUUAACGUAAACUGAACCAAGGGCUGCUCGGCAACCUGCACAAUAUGGCAGCUAGCUCUACAACUUAGCUGUUGCAGUGCUAACAGCUAGCUACAAUUCAGCGUUACUUGAUGGUUGGUCACAAACAGGAGGGAGGAGUCAGUCAUCAGGAUGGAGGUUAUAGAGGAAAAUAUGUCACAAAUGGAGAUGCUUGAGAAAAUAGCUGAGCUGGAUUACAGUCAGAGCCAGCUGAAGGAUCUGAAUACUGAGAUGAGACGUUGGCUGGAGUUUGCGGACGAUGACAUGGCCGUGCUGCGCUCAGAGAAUUCAGCCCUCACAAAACAAGUUAAAGCGCUGGAGAAGAUGAUGGCUGAAGCACAACAGGUUGAAGCAGAGCCUUGCAGGUCUUUCAUGGCUGAUGACCUUGAUGCAAAUAGAUGCAGAGAAAACAAGAUUCAGAAAUUGGAGAAGGAAUCCAUCAUAAUGACAGAAGAAAAUAAGAUGCUAACUGCAGAGAGAAACUUGCAGUUAAAGCAUUUGAAUGAAACUGUUGAAGAGAGUGCCAACAUCAUGAAGGACCUCAGGCUGACAAACCAGGAGCUGAGGAAGCAGAUAGAGGGCAGACGAGACGAGGCCUAUUUUGACAGUCUGACUGACAGGAUGAGAGAAAACGAAGGAUCGGUUAUUCCCCCUCCGUCUUUAGCUGAGGAAAUAUGGCAGGCCUCAUCCCCUGAAGUGAAACCCUUCAUGACGUACUCCACAGAGCUCAGACAUGAGGAAGGUGAAGCUGAGGAGCUGCUGAAACCUCGUAGUGUCACAGCUGACUUUCAGACCAAAAGAUGUGCAGAUACUUCAAAGACAUCCGUCCAGAAAACAGGGCUGUUCACUGUGUGCAUCUUCAUUCUCACUGUUUUGGCCUUCUUGGCUUCAGGAAGUUGUUCAGGAAACGGUGACUUUUUUUCUAUCAACUCAUUGUGGAACAGUGCGUGCCUGAUGUUUCAUCCCUACUGCCGCAUCCACUACGGGGCCUUACCUCCCAUUUGACCUAAACACUCCCUCUCAUAAACAUGUCACGACUCUAUUA